ACAUGGCUCAGCUUGGUAGAGUGCUGGCUUCGGGAGUCAGAGGUCGUGGGUUCAAAUCCCACUGUU
rnacentral:tRNA from 1 species